UAGCUAGUUGGUGAGGUAACGGCUCACCAAGGCGACGAUCUGUAGCGGGUCUGAGAGGAUGAUCCGCCACACUGGAACUGAGACACGGUCCAGACUCCUACGGGAGGCAGCAGUGGGGAAUUUUGGACAAUGGGGGCAACCCUGAUCCAGCCAUGCCGCGUGAGUGAAGAAGGCCUUCGGGUUGUAAAGCUUUUUCGGCCGGGAAGAAAUCGCAUGGGCCAAUACCCUGUGUGGAUGACGGUACCGGAAUAAGAAGCACCGGCUAACUACGUGCCAGCAGCCGCGGUAAUACGUAGGGUGCGAGCGUUAAUCGAAAUUACUGGGCGUAAAGCGUGCGCAGGCGGUUUUGUAAGACAGGCGUGAAAUCCCCGGGCUCAACCUGGGAACUGCGUUUGUGACUGCAAGGCUAGAGUACGGCAGAGGGGGGUGGAAUUCCACGUGUAGCAGUGAAAUGCGUAGAGAUGUGGAGGAACACCAAUGGCGAAGGCAGCCCCCUGGGUCGAUACUGACGCUCAUGCACGAAAGCGUGGGUAGCAAACAGGAUUAGAUACCCUGGUAGUCCACGCCCUAAACUAUGUCAACUAGGUGUUGGGUGGGUAAAACCAUUUAGUACCGUAGCUAACGCGUGAAGUUGACCGCCUGGGGAGUACGGCCGCAAGGUUAAAACUCAAAGGAAUUGACGGGGACCCGCACAAGCGGUGGAUGAUGUGGAUUAAUUCGAUGCAACGCGAAAAACCUUACCUACCCUUGACAUGCCAGGAACUUGCCAGAGAUGGCUUGGUGCCCGAAAGGGAGCCUGGACACAGGUGCUGCAUGGCUGUCGUCAGCUCGUGUCGUGAGAUGUUGGGUUAAGUCCCGCAACGAGCGCAACCCUUGUCGUUAAUUGCCAUCAUUUAGUUGGGCACUUUAGCGAGACUGCCGGUGACAAACCGGAGGAAGGUGGGGAUGGCGUCAAGUCCUCAUGGCCCUUAUGGGUAGGGCUUCACACGUCAUACAAUGGUCGGUACAGAGGGUCGCCAAGCCGCGAGGUGGAGCCAAUCCCAGAAAGCCGAUCGUAGUCCGGAUUGCAGGCUGCAACUCGCCUGCAUGAAGUCGGAAUCGCUAGUAAUCGUGGAUCAGCAUGUCACGGUGAAUACGUUCCCGGGUCUUGUACACACCGCCCGUCACACCAUGGGAGCGGGUUCCGCCAGAAGUAGGUAGCCUAACCGCAAGGAGGGCGCUUACCACGGCGGGGUUCGUGACUGGGGUGAAGUCGGAACAAGGUAGCCGUAGGGGAACCUGCGGCUG
rnacentral:rRNA from 1 species